CUACGCACUCCUACGGGAGGCAGCAGUGGGGAAUAUUGCACAAUGGGCGCAAGCCUGAUGCAGCCAUGCCGCGUGUAUGAAGAAGGCCUUCGGGUUGUAAAGUACUUUCAGCAGUGAGGAAGGUGGGUAUGUUAAUAGCAUAUUCAUUUGACGUUAGCUGCAGAAGAAGCACCGGCUAACUCCGUGGCAGCAGCCGCGGUAAUACGGAGGGUGCGAGCGUUAAUCGGAAUUACUGGGCGUAAAGCGCAUGCAGGUGGUUUGUUAAGUCAGAUGUGAAAGCCCGGGGCUCAACCUCGGAAUUGCAUUUGAAACUGGCAAACUAGAGUACUGUAGAGGGGGUAGAAUUUCAGGUGUAGCGGUGAAAUGCGUAGAGAUCUGAAGGAAUACCGGUGGCGAAGGCGGCCCCCUGGACAGAUACUGACACUCAGAUGCGAAAGCGUGGGGAGCAAACAGGAUUAGAUACCCUGGUAG
rnacentral:rRNA from 1 species